rnacentral:lncRNA from 1 species
AAAUUAUUAAAGUCCAUUUACAACAUCAAAAGUCCAAAUAGCCCAAAUUUCACCAAACCCAUUAUAUCAGCCCAAACCACAAUUAAACAGACACAAGCCCAUAUCAAACCCAAACCCCUAACCCAAUUCCUACAGGCCCAAAAUGCCCAAUAGCCUAAAACAAUUCAGAAACCCUAGGGUUUCUGAAUCACCUUCGCACCGUACCCCCUCCAUGUGCGCCCUCAGCGCGCACACCGCCUAAGACGGUCCUGCCUGUUACCUUGCACCAAAAUGGUAAAACAUGCCUUCGUU